rnacentral:rRNA from 1 species
CCUACGGGGAGCAGCAGUAGGGAAUAUUGCUCAAUGGGGGAAACACUGAAGCAGCAACGCCGCGUGGAGGAUGAAGGUUUUCGGAUUGUAAACUCCUUUUGUUAGAGAAGAAAAUGACGGUAUCUAACGAAUAAGCACCGGCUAACUCCGUGCCAGCAGCCGCGGUAAUACGGAGGGUGCAAGCGUUACGCGGAAUCACUGGGCGCAAAGAGCGCGUAGGCGGGUUAGCAAGUCAGAUGUGAAAUCCUAGGGCUUAACCAUAGAACUGCAGUUGAAACUGUUAUUCUAGAGUAGGGGAGAGGUAGGUGGAAUUCUUGGUGUAGCGGUGAAAUCCGUAGAGAUCAAGAGGAAUACUCAUUGCGAAGGCGACCUGCUAGAACAUAACUGACGCUGAUGCGCGAAAGCGUGGGGAGCAAACAGGAUUAGAUACCCUAGUAGUC